rnacentral:rRNA from 1 species
AUUGAACGCUGGCGGCAGGCUUAACACAUGCAAGUCGAGCGGGGUGAUGGUGCUUGCACUAUCACUUAGCGGCGGACGGGUGAGUAAUGCUUAGGAAUCUGCCUAUUAGUGGGGGACAACAUCUCGAAAGGGAUGCUACUACCGCAUACGUCCUACGGGAGAAAGCAGGGGAUCACUUGUGAACUUGCGAUAAUAGUUGAGCCUAAGUCGGAUUAGCUAGUUGGUGGGGUAAAGGCCUACCAAGGCGACGAUCUGUAGCGGGUCUGAGAGGAUGAUCCGCCACACUGGGACUGAGACACGGCCCAGACUCCUACGGGAGGCAGCAGUGGGGAAUAUUGGACAAUGGGGGGAACCCUGAUCCAGCCAUGCCGCGUGUGUGAAGAAGGCCUUAUGGUUGUAAAGCACUUUAAGCGAGGAGGAGGCUCUUUUGGUUAAUACCCAAGAUGAGUGGACGUUACUCGCAGAAUAAGCACCGGCUAACUCUGUGCCAGCCGCCGCCGUAA